UACCGCGUGGCUCAGUUGGUAGAGCAUUGUGCUAACAACACAAAGGUAACUGGUUCAAAUCUCAGGGAAA